UACGAAGGGGGCUAGCGUUGCUCGGAAUUACUGGGCGUAAAGCGCACGUAGGCGGCUUUGUAAGUUAGAGGUGAAAGCCCGGGGCUCAACCCCGGAAUUGCCUUUAAGACUGCAUCGCUUGAAUCCGGGAGAGGUGAGUGGAAUUCCUAGUGUAGAGGUGAAAUUCGUAGAUAUUAGGAAGAACACCAGUGGCGAAGGCGGCUCACUGGCCCGGGUACUGACGCUGAGGCGCGAAAGCGUGGGGAGCAAACAGG
rnacentral:rRNA from 1 species